rnacentral:misc_RNA from 1 species
GAUGAAGAACGUAGCGAAAUGCGAUAAGUAAUGUGAAUUGCAGAAUUCAGUGAAUCAUCGAAUCUUUGAACGCACAUUGCGCCCGCCAGUAUUCUGGCGGGCAUGCCUGUUCGAGCGUCAUUACAACCCUCAGGCCCCCGGGCCUGGCGUUGGGGAUUGGCGGAGCCCCCCGUGGGCACACGCCGUCCCCCAAAUGCAGUGGCGGUCCCGCCGCAGCUUCCAUCGCGUAGUAGCUAACACCUCGCGACUGGAGAGCGGCGCGGCCACGCCGUAAAACACCCAACUCUUCUGAAGUUGACCUCGAAUCGGGUAGGAAUACCCGCUGAACUUAAGCAUAUCAAUAAGCGGAGGA